GCCGAGGUAGCUCAGGGGUAGAGCACACGACUGAAAAUCGUGGUGUCGGCGGUUCAAAUCCGCCCCUCGGCACAA
rnacentral:tRNA from 1 species